UACAUGCUUAUAAUUCUAAAGAAAUUGACCAGGUACUUCAUAAAGAAAUUAUUAUGCAAAAAUGUUUCCGUGGCUUACACUUAAUUUUUUGUCGUUAUCUUAUCAAUUAUGAGAUCACGACUACUUUAUGGAGAAGAACCGCAACAGUAAACAUUUUUAUUUGCUAUAUUUUAGUACAUAUCUAGUUCUAAUGCAGGGAUCUAUAGAUUUUUCAAGAUUAUCGGAUUAUUUUAAUAUGUAUUAUAAAUCAUCAGCUAGGAUUUUUUAGUUAACGCCAGUGGACAAUCAUAAAGAAAAAGGAGACAGGGGAAAAAUAAAAAAAGUUAAAUGAGGUGUAAGAAAAAUUUUUAAAUCGAGAAAAUCUGCUAAAGCGUCUUCAUAAAUCGCCACAAAUUAUGAGAGGGAGUGAAAAAACAGAACAGUCAUAUUACAAUUCAUGUAAACAAUGUAUUGCUAG